GACAGAGGGUGCAAACGUUGUUCGGAAUUACUGGGCGUAAAGCGAGUGUAGGCGGUUUGAUAAGUCGGAUGUGAAAGCCCCGGGCUCAACUCGGGAAGUGCACUCGAUACUGUCAAGCUAGAGUAUCGGAGAGGUUGGUGGAAUUCUCGGUGUAGAGGUGAAAUUCGUAGAUAUCGAGAGGAACACCGGUGGCGAAGGCGGCCAACUGGACGAAUACUGACGCUGAGACUCGAAAGCGUGGGGAGCAAACAGG
rnacentral:rRNA from 1 species